UUAUUGCGUAAUUUCAUAGCACGCGGGCACUAACCGCACGCGUGUUGCUAAUGCAUAGGUGUUUAUGGUUCUCUGUUUCGAGUUUCUUCGCUGUUGUUCUGUUUUUUCUGAAUAUUACCUUAAUGUAGAAGUGAGUCAAACUGGCUCAUUUUAAUGUUCAACAACAUUAUUCAUAAGGUAAACACAAAACAAAACUUUCCAUCUGGAGCUCCUUCACGGGACUCGACACUUGUAAACACUCACUCCAAUGGGUUUCGCGUGGCACACACCCUUUCCCACACUUUUCAUUGCUACCAAGCCGACCAAUCAGAGCUUGUGCUACGCGUCGAUGCGAUGUGUAGUUACAUUUUUUGAGAGGUGCACGUCAUCGUUGGCCACGGCGAGGGCUAUGCGACCACAUGAAGGCUGCACCGGACCAUACGCAGGAGUACAAAUCAGCCUUUUUCUCUGAUGCGUGGAAGAUGGAGUCUCAAGAAGUCCUC
ensembl:processed_transcript